GGAAGUUAACAAGGUUUCCGUAGGUGAACCUGCGGAAGGAUCAUUAUUGUAUAACCGAGGUGCGAGGGCUGUCGCUGACCCGAAAGGUCGUGCACGCCCGAGUGCCCUCACACACAUCCAUCUCACCCCUAUGUGCACCACCGCGUGGGUCCCCCUUUGGCUUGUUCGGAGGGGGGCUUACGUUUUCACACAAACUUUGUAUGCAGUGUAGAAUGUAUUUUUUGUUUUUGCGAUCACGCAAUCAAUACAACUUUCAACAACGGAUCUCUUGGCUCUC
rnacentral:misc_RNA from 1 species